UACGGGGGGGGGCAAGCGUUGUUCGGAAUUAUUGGGCGUAAAGGGCGCGUAGGCGGCUUUGCAAGUGACGGGUGAAAUCCCUCGGCUUAACCGAGGAACUGCCUGUCAGACUGGAAGGCUUGAGACCGGGAGAGGUGAGUGGAAUUCCCAGUGUAGCGGUGAAAUGCGUAGAUAUUGGGAGGAACACCAGUGGCGAAGGCGGCUCACUGGACCGGAACUGACGCUGAGGCGCGAAAGCGUGGGGAGCAAACAGGG
rnacentral:rRNA from 1 species